AAUUACAUGACCAUCUGAAUGACCUCAUGCACGCGCUUCAGGUGCCUAUGACGCCAAGAUCCUGUUUCGCUGCUAUGAUUUUUGGUGCUCGUGAAGCAGCUGACGGCCAAACAGGUUACUUUGUUUAUACCUUGAGGUCCUGAUUGAGUUGUUUGAUAUCUGUGUGCAAAUCCUUUUUCGCUGCUAUGUUUCUUUGGCGCUCAUGAAACAGCUAACGGCCAAGUAGGUCACUUUGUACGGUGACACACUGCCUCAGGAAGAAAAUGAGGAAAAGGGCAUUAAUGCCACGCGGGAGCUCCUUCUCCUGACGCCGCUACGGAGGCAGACUGGCAGUGGCAGGUGUUGGGAUGUACCUGAAGAUGAAAAAUCCAUCUGUGGAGAUAGUGUUCGUGGAACCUUCAGAGAGAGAGUUGUGAUUUUAGUGCUCAUAUAUGAGAAAAUGCCCGAAGAGUUGCUGAAGGAGGCCUUGUCAUUGACCGGUUGAGUGGCUGUCGAGCAUUAUGUUGAAAAUUCUUCAAAGAUUGUAAGGACGGAAGGAGGUGCAGAACAGGGCAGCCCAGUGUUCUCUUAUCCAGAUUUCCGAGGGAAUCAUCCUUCCAUGACAAUGGCUAAAUCAUACUAGGCUGCUGAUGGGCAACUUCAUCGUGAACAAAGACUCUGGGACCGGGAAAUUUAGGGGACUGCUCCAGGUGUUGAUUCUGCAAGACAGCAAGCCACCUUAGUGCCAGUCACUUGCUAUGUAUUGCGAACUGUGCGGUUAAGAAAAUGUAUGGCUCCGACAGGCGACAGUUCCCUUGGGAAUUAGUAUUCUGCAGACUGCAUGUAUUGCUCCUCUAGGUUAAGAAAUUUGUGCUACCACUCUGUUGCCAAUGGAGGCAUAGAUUUAUCCUAGCUCGUUACUGUCAUCGGCAUUAUUUGUUUUGUACAACACCUAUUCGAUAAAAUUCUAGUGAGAAAAAAUCAAGUGGAUGCAAGGUGGUGAGAGAGUGUCAGCAGCGGCUCGAGCGAAAUCGAGCGUGCGGCAGCUCGAGCGCCAUUGAGCACGCCGCAGCACCCUUUCUGCGGAAGUGCCAUUCAAGACUAGGUGCAGCUUCGGAAGUUGCGCACGUAUCGAGUGACUACGAGCAUGGCCGAGAGACGAUUGUGAGCUUCUCCCAAUCCUUCUCUCCCAGCUGAUGCAAUGUUCUUUAUUUUAUUUUUUACAUGUAUGCACAGUUUGUACGGUGAGGUGUUUGGUGUUUGGCUAUUUCUCUAGAGUGAUAGGUAUAUCUUCAACUUUUUUUUUUCUGGUGGAGUGCUUGAUUGAAUUACUUGCAGAAAGUAUGGUAUAGAUUUAUUUAUGUCAUAGAUAGCAGCACAAACUAUACAUUGGGUUUUGUUUCUUGUUAAGCUCUAUGAUGUAGAUGUAAAUCUUUUAGUAUGUCCAUGUCACAGAAUUCAUUGCUCAUUUUAUUUCUAGGAGUAAAGCAUUGGUGUAGAUUUUGGUUUACGGUGGGGCUGUAGCUGCAGUGGCAGAAGGCAUCCUGUGAAUAAUCUUGAGAUUGCAUUGGAGGCUCCCCUUAUUUAUAUUUAUUUGACUAGAUAUUCUUACAGGAUUCAAUAAAUCCAUUUAAUCUUGAUAUGUACAUUAAUAGAUUCCUGUUAACUACUACAUUGUGCAAAAUAAAUCAUGUGCGUGUGCAUAGUAUGUCCCAAGACAUUUUACAAGUAGAGAAUUAUGCCGCCAUUUAUAGUGUUCAGUAUUGAGACCAUUGUAUAUUUCUCAGGGUAACUUGCAAAUUAUGGGCACGCCCGAGGGUUGAA